GAUGAACGCUGGCGGCGUGCCUAAUACAUGCAAGUCGAGCGAAUGGAUUAAGAGCUUGCUCUUAUGAAGUUAGCGGCGGACGGGUGAGUAACACGUGGGUAACCUGCCCAUAAGACUGGGAUAACUCCGGGAAACCGGGGCUAAUACCGGAUAACAUAUUGAACCGCAUGGUUCGAAGUUGAAAGGCGGCUUCGGCUGUCACUUAUGGAUGGACCCGCGUCGCAUUAGCUAGUUGGUGAGGUAACGGCUCACCAAGGCAACGAUGCGUAGCCGACCUGAGAGGGUGAUCGGCCACACUGGGACUGAGACACGGCCCAGACCCCUACGGGAGGCAGCAGUAGGGAAUCUUCCGCAAUGGACGAAAGUCUGACGGAGCAACGCCGCGUGAGUGAUGAAGGCUUUCGGGUCGUAAAACUCUGUUGUUAGGGAAGAACAAGUGCUAGUUGAAUAAGCUGGCACCUUGACGGUACCUAACCAGAAAGCCACGGCUAACUACGUGCCAGCCGCCGCCGUAA
rnacentral:rRNA from 1 species